AUUGAACGCUGGCGGCAUGCCUUACACAUGCAAGUCGAACGGUAACGGGCCUUCGGGUGCCGACGAGUGGCGAACGGGUGAGUAAUACAUCGGAACGUGCCCGAUCGUGGGGGAUAACGAGGCGAAAGCUUUGCUAAUACCGCAUACGAUCUACGGAUGAAAGCAGGGGACCGCAAGGCCUUGCGCGGACGGAGCGGCCGAUGGCAGAUUAGGUAGUUGGUGGGAUAAAAGCUUACUAAGCCGACGAUCUGUAGCUGGUCUGAGAGGAUGAUCAGCCACACUGGGACUGAGACACGGCCCAGACUCCUACGGGAGGCAGCAGUGGGGAAUUUUGGACAAUGGGCGCAAGCCUGAUCCAGCCAUGCCGCGUGCAGGAUGAAGGCCUUCGGGUUGUAAACUGCUUUUGUACGGAACGAAAAGCCUUCUUUUAAUACAGGAGGGUCAUGACGGUACCGUAAGAAUAAGCACCGGCUAACUACGUG
rnacentral:rRNA from 1 species